CCUACGGGAGACAGCAGUAGGGAAUCUUCCACAAUGGGCGAAAGCCUGAUGGAGCAACGCCGCGUGGGUGAAGAAGGUCUUCGGAUCGUAAAACCCUGUUGUUAGAGAAGAAAGUGCGUGAGAGUAACUGUUCACGUUUCGACGGUAUCUAACCAGAAAGCCACGGCUAACUACGUGCCAGCAGCCGCGGUAAUACGUAGGUGGCAAGCGUUAUCCGGAUUUUUUGGGCGUAAAGGGAACGCAGGCGGUCUUUUAAGUCUGAUGUGAAAGCCUUCGGCUUAACCGGAGUAGUGCAUUGGAAACUGGGAGACUUGAGUGCAGAAGAGGAGAGUGGAACGCCAUGUGUAGCGGUGAAAUGCGUAGAUAUAUGGAAGAACACCAGUGGCGAAAGCGGCUCUCUGGUAUGUAACUGACGCUGAGGUUCGAAAGCGUGGGUAGCAAACAGGAUUAGAUACCCUUGUAGUC
rnacentral:rRNA from 1 species